rnacentral:rRNA from 1 species
UACGUAGGGGGCAAGCGUUGUCCGGAUUUAUUGGGCGUAAAGAGCGUGUAGGCGGCCAGGCAGGUCUGCUGUGAAAUCUCGAGGCUUAACCUCGAGCUGUCGGCGGAAACCAUCUGGCUAGAGUCCGGAAGAGGAGAAUGGAAUUCCCGGUGUAGCGGUGAAAUGCGCAGAUAUCGGGAAGAACACCCGUGGCGAAGGCGGUUCUCUGGGACGGUACUGACGCUGAGACGCGAAAGCGUGGGGAGCGAACAGG